CCCCUAAACGUCCCCUAGCACUCAGGGACACAUGUUGAUGAUCUAAGAACACUUGUAGCACUUGUUGUCAAAGAUCUAAGGGCUAAUGAACACUAUAAAAGGCCACUUUGUAACAACAAGUUCUUCACACCUUCAAUCUGCUUCUUGAUCACUUCUGGAGCUCAAGAACUCUCACUACUCAUCCCUGGUCGUGCAUAGGACUCUUGACUCUCUUAGGACCAGGUUACAUGAUGGAGACCUGUAAAAGAUACUUGCAUUGUUUAUUGAGGUUACUACUUGCUCAGGUUCUGCUUGAAAUAGGCUGGCCACUCCUUAGCAUCGUUAGAGUCUCGCAAGCUUGGGAUGCCAUUAUCUGUUGAACAAUAUUUCUAUUUUUAUUUUGAUCCCCUGUGGAUUAUUUCGACUAUUUGUGAUACUUGGAUAUUACAUUGAAUG
rnacentral:lncRNA from 1 species